GUAGCGGUGGCCGAGUGGUUAAAUCGAUGGACUAGAAAUCCAUUGGGAUCUUCCCGCGUAGGUUCGAAUCCUACCGACUACG
rnacentral:tRNA from 1 species